UGGGGAAUUUUGGACAAUGGGCGAAAGCCUGAUCCAGCAAUGCCGCGUGUGUGAAGAAGGCCUUCGGGUUGUAAAGCACUUUUGUCCGGAAAGAAAUGGCUCUGGUUAAUACCUGGGGUCGAUGACGGUACCGGAAGAAUAAGGACCGGCUAACUACGUGCCAGCAGCCGCGGUAAUACGUAGGGUCCAAGCGUUAAUCGGAAUUACUGGGCGUAAAGCGUGCGCAGGCGGUUGUGCAAGACCGAUGUGAAAUCCCCGAGCUUAACUUGGGAAUUGCAUUGGUGACUGCACGGCUAGAGUGUGUCAGAGGGGGGUUAGAAUUCCACGUGUAGCAGUGAAAUGCGUAGAGAUGUGGAGGAAUACCGAUGGCGAAGGCAGCCCCCUGGGAUAACACUGACGCUCAUGCACGAAAGCGUGGGGAGCAAACAGGAUUAGAUACCCUGGUAGUCCACGCCCUAAACGAUGUCAACUAGUUGUUGGGGAUUCAUUUCCUUAGUACGUAGCUAACGCGUGAAGUUGACCGCCUGGGGAGUACGGUCGCAAGAUU
rnacentral:rRNA from 1 species